rnacentral:sRNA from 1 species
AAUUGUAAUUACGCUAGAUUUUGACCCGCGGUAUACUGCGGGACUAAGUUUUUAAUAAAAUUUGUUAUAUAAUUGUAUAUGUAGAUAUUUGUUUUAUUAUUAUUGUUUGCUUUGUUUAGUGUUUAAAAUAAUGUAUAUAUAGAUUUUAAUUGUUAUAUCUAUGAUUUCAUUUGUAGUAUAUCGUUUCGUAUUAUUAUCGAUCAAAACCCGUUAUACUAUCUAAUCCUGCACAGUGAAAUUAAACAUAUCUAAUAGAUUUCACUUGUGCUAUACCGUCUCGUAAUACUAUCGACCAAACCCGUCUUACCACUAACCAUGUUCAGUAAAAUUAGACAUUAUUUUGUUAUUUUUGUUUUAAUAAUACUUUAAUUUAAAAAAUAUUUAAUUCAAAUCAAUUUAAAAGUUUUCUUUCAAAUAUUUAUUU